AGCGCCGUGGGCCGGGCGGCCGGGGGGGCAGAGUGCGCCGUGGGCCUUGCGGCUGGGCCCUGCGCACGGUUCGGCCGUCCCUUCGUCGGGCUGAGCUCGCCCGGCCCCGCCGUUCGCCCGGACCUCCCGGUGCAUUGCCACAGAGUCACGGAAUGGUUGGGUUGGAAGGGAUCUUAAAGUCCGUCCAGCCCCAACCCCUGCCGUGGGCUGCGUGCCUCCACCAGCUCAGGUUGCUCAACGCCCAUCCGUGGCCUUGUGCACCUGCAGGGAUGGGGCGCCCGCAGCUCUGGGCAGCAGUGCCAGGGCGUCACCGUUCUCUGGGCACAGAUUUUCAUCCUAACAUCGAACCUAGAUCUCCUCUCUUUUAGUUUAAAGUCAUUCUUCCUUCUCCUACCACCAGUCUGUGCAAAAAUCCUCUCCAGCUCAUAAGCUGCCUUCAAAUACUGGAAGCCGCAGUCAGGUCUCCUCGGAGCCCGGCUCCCUCAGCCUUUCUUCGUCCUCUGAGCAUCCUUGUGGCCCUCAUCAGCCCUGCUCCAACAGCCUCACAUCUUUCCUGUACUGCAGCCCCAGGCCUGGACACAGUACUGCAGAUGGGACCUCAGGAGAGCAGAGUGUGACAAUCCCCUCCUCAUCCCUCUGCCACCCCUCUGCUGAUGCAGCCUAGGAUGCUGUUGGCCUUCUGGGCUGCAAGCACACACUCACCGUCCAAUUUCUUUUCCACCAGGACCCCCAAGUCCUUCUCCACAUCGUCCUCCUGACCCUCUCCUCGUAACCACAUGGAUCCUUCCAUCUUCCUUCCCCACAUUUGCUAGCUCCCUCUUUGGGGACACUUAGCUAGCCCACCCCGUUCUUAGAGGCCCAGGCAGACUGGCCAGAUCUUCUUGGUGGCCCCACAAAGGAUUUGGGGUUGUCUGGACCUGAGCUGCUUCCCAGGCCCAAGCUUUGGACAGGGACCUGCUGGGGAGGCCAACUCCCUGUCCUUCCUGCCUUGGUUUCCUUUCUACCCAUUUACAUUUGCUCACUGUUCUCAUCCACAUUCUUCGCUGUCUUGUGCUGUCCUCUGUAGGUUAUCAUCUCUUCUGUUUUAUUUUUCCCAUUCAAUCAGAGCAUCCUCCUGCUCCAGCCCUGCUGCUCUCCUGUGGGCUCUCGCUUCUGCCUCUCUGUGUUUGAUUUCUUUUUUAUUAUUGUGGCAAAAUAUCAGGGCAGAUGGGUUCAGGGCUCGAGAACUGGCGAAAUAAAACAAUGAGAAGGUGGAAAAGUGCACUAGUGCGGAUAAAAAUACUUUUUCCAGCAGUGAAAAAAAUAACAAUUUGGGGAAGAGGGCUUGCAUAUACUAAAUAAGCUGUGUGAAAAGGGUGUAUUUGGCCUUUCCAAGUGAUUUUCGAGGGGAUGAUAAGUAUAUAUUACCUAAAAUCACUCUUCUCUUUCAUGCUGCACUGAGAAAUAAGGACUGUCUGCCCUGUGUUCCUGAGUGAUGAGCGCAUGUGUUUUGCUUAAACUUUUGCUUUGCAGUGCAGUGAGAUAUAAAUGGGAGCAUUCCUCAUCUCUGCGAACUUUUCCAUCUAGCAAAUUUGCUACAUACGAUUUCAAAACAAAACAAAGACAGCACAAAAGUAAUUAAACUAUUUAGCCAUAUUUAAGUAGAAGUGUAGGUGCACGUUGCACUUUGUGAACCAAUAAGGCGACGGAAGACUCAUCUGUUUUGAUACAAAAACAGCCCAAAAUUGUGUGAUGAGACAUACGGGUGGGAGAAGGCAGCAGUUGGGAAUUAUAGAAUUGGCACGCUAAAUGAGAAAAGCAAUUGCUUGGGUGAUAUGUGACAUGAGAUAAUAUUCUGUUGAGACUGCCUCUGCAUUUCUCAGUGCAUUUGUGGCCAGCUGUGUCCAAGAAGGGUGAAGUCAGGCUGGAUACGUGUAGGGAGGAGCCAGGUGCUGAGCAGAGAUCUGUGCUUUCCUUCUCCUGCAGGCUGAAAGAAUUUGGCUUGUUCGCUUCAGCAAAAGUGAGAAUGGAGGGGGAGUGUGUUUUCUGUAUGUAAGUACAUCCUGGAAAGCAGAUGGGAAGGGUGUGACACUGAGGGGCAGCAGUAGAAGAGCAAAGGAGUAGGAACCGGUCGUGAGUAUAUCUAGUCUAGAAACCAGAAGAUCCUUCCAGUCAGAGAGAAAAAAUAAGUAGUUGACAUUAACACAUUGCUUUGCAAUUUUACAGAGGAAAUGACAUACCAGUGUGAGAAAAUAAACAGUUGGGAUGAGAGACCUUGAAAGGUUUUCCUGCCCGGAUCGUCUGUCCUUGGAAAGAUCUUGUCCAUUCUGAUGCGUGGUACGCUGCGCUCCUUCCUGCAUCAGGCGAUGAGUCAUGGCUACAUGACUCUGUGGGUGGCCAGAAGUGAUAUCUCCACCGCUUACAUCUUAAUUCCUGAUCAUCCCAUGAUGUUCUCCAGCUCCAGCUCACCCACUUAUCCCACAGCAGAAGCACGGCUGUGCUCAGAGCACCCCAAGCCCCCUCCUGUCCCCGGUACUCGCAGCCGCUGCUGGAUCACAGCUUCAGCCAAGGAUAUGGAGAGCUCUGCCCCUUCCAUCAGGCUGCAGCCCUGUGUGAUUAGAGCACUGACCCUUACAGAGAGCCAAAGAAUCACAGAAUCAUUUGAGUUGGAAGGGACCAACUAAGCGGUGACCCUCCAUCACGCUGCAGGCGCUUGUGUCCAGAGGUCUGAGAAAACUCUGGAUGGCUCUAAGAUCUGCAAGUAUUUAUAAAACAUGUUUAGCAAGGAGUUUUCUCUUGCAGCAGUCAAAGCUGAUUUGUCUAAUCCUUGCAUUUCAUGUCGAAUUCUGCUUUUCAGAAGCAGCAGUGAGCCACCAGAAAGAAGAGGCACGUUUGGUGCUCCGGCAGCGCCCAGCAAAGCGCGGCGUGGAAUGGUGCCCUUCUCUUGCUGGAAAGUGCCUUUACUGGGACACCUUUUAGAUGCAAUCAGCUAACCCGGUGACAUUGGAUGUGUGAUCGUAGGGCCUCCUGGGGACUGGUCUGUGCAGAAGAAGGUUACUGGGAAAGCCAAUGCAUCGCCUUGGGUCAUGAGAGCAAGUGGAGCUGGAAUUCACACCUUAACUAUGGUGAGGUAUAUUCCUCGUGACACAAAUCCCUUUCCACAUAAGCAAACUGGUGUUAUAAUACGUGAAAGCUCUGUAACCUCAUCCAAACCCAUGCGUGUAACAGGGUAAUGUAUUUUCUAUAAUUAAUGCUUGCCACUAUAGAUUACUUAAUUCAAUUCAUGACCUCUUCUAUCAAGCCAAAAAAAGACAGAAUAUUGCAUUAAUCCCAAUCUGCCUGGAUUUCCUUUGGAAAAUAAGAAAAUGGUUGCUGGCUGUAGCAGCUCUGGUAACUUCAAUCUCCCAUCUCCUUUCUCCUGAAAUAUCAGCCCACUCAUUGCUCCUUGGUGGCGUGGGUUUCUCAGUCCUUACUUCAGUCAAGGCAUUGCUGAGAAAUCAUCUUCCCAAUGAUUUCCCACUGAUCUUAUGAAAUGUCACAGCAGUUAAGGUUGGUUGCAUCUUUACAGCCCUUGUCUUUCAUGAUGAACCUUGCAGGAUAUCUCAAUUACAUGCCCUUUUUUGUUCUCUGUAAACCCUCGGCUCCACUGCAACCACCAUUUCUACCAUUUUGGUCCUGAACAAAAUGCCUCCAUCUGGUAGAGCUUGUGUUCUGUCAGUGGGUGCUGGAUUUAGCUCCAAAUCAAGACAUCUAAUUGUACAUGUCCAUGGGUGAGUUACAUAUCUGAGUUCCAUAGUCAAGAAGGAGCUUACCAAUGGCUCUGUGCAGUUGACCACGUGUAGACAUCUAGUGCCAUUUGUAAGACCCUAGGAUAUCUCACCAGGCCUCCAGCUGAUGCUCCAAAUGGGCUUCGAUCUUUCAUACCUCCAGUAUCAUACUUGUCAGUUGGAUCAACGUGUCCAACCCACCUUUGGGCACCUUAAAUAGCAUUAGACAUUGGGAAAUUGCAUCCGAGAAUUUUGCCAUUAGGAGCAGGGUUAGGCCCUCAGUGCACAUUUCCUAUUAUUUAUAUUGGUUCUAGGGACGUGUAAGAUCUGCUUCUUCUCAACAGCAGCAAAAAUAACAAGAUGGCAUUACCAUUUCCCUUUCUGUGUUUUUAGUGCUUUAAAUUAAUUUGACUAUCUGCAGGUCAUUUAAUAUCUCAGGGGACAGAUGAGAUUUGCCCAGGUUUGAAACGGAUGCUUAAGGUCUCACUUCUAUAACAAAAAUGAUCAUGUGGCUAUUCCACACAGUGUCUAAAAAUUAAGUAGUGCUAUUCUGAAGUCUCAGUUCAGGCACACACUGUGCUUUCUAACAUGGGCACAUCACCAACGUCUCCAGCUUUGGCAAAUGCUCCUAUCAUUUCUUCCAUCUGCCAGCAGAAACAAUAUUUCUGAAUCUGUUAAUUAAGGAACUGAAGUUUUGCCCUAAGAUACUGAAGUAACUUGUUCUGUUUUCUACAGCAAAACUAAUGCUUGCCUUGUCCAUAAUUAUCUAAAUUGCUGAGAAAAAAAUUAUUCAGCUUUCAUGUUGAUUCACUUUUGUAAUUUCAUUGCCAAGGCUAAGUGUGGCACCAUAUAAAUUAUCCCUUACUCUCAUUUUACUCAAGACAUGUUAUUUGCUAACAAAGAUUCAAUAAGGAAAAAUGGGAAGGUGACAACUACCUCCUUCAUCAAUGCAAAUGACAAUAAUCUCCUCUCCUUCGCCAUGUGAAAAUAAACAUUGAAUCAUCCCAGAUGGAAAUGCCCUUCUGCAUUUAGAGGUAUGGAUAUGGGAAGGGAACACCUGCUCUCAUUUGUGUAGUCAUAACAUUCAAGUUUGGCUAGCGGUUCCAUGGAAAAUACUUCAAUGGUAUAAGCCCAGUCCGAAAUUGUCACCACUGUUUUUCUCAAGAACCUGUACAUUCUUCAUUAUUUUGUGCCAUUUGCAUUUGUGAGUGGAAGAUUAAUUUCUGUUCUUAUUAAAUAGUCAACAUGG